rnacentral:rRNA from 1 species
AUUGAACGCUGGCGGCAGGCCUAACACAUGCAAGUCGAACGGUAACAGGAAGAAGCUUGCUUCUUUGCUGACGAGUGGCGGACGGGUGAGUAAUGUCUGGGAAACUGCCUGAUGGAGGGGGAUAACUACUGGAAACGGUAGCUAAUACCGCAUAACGUCGCAAGACCAAAGAGGGGGACCUUCGGGCCUCUUGCCAUCGGAUGUGCCCAGAUGGGAUUAGCUAGUAGGUGGGGUAACGGCUCACCUAGGCGACGAUCCCUAGCUGGUCUGAGAGGAUGACCAGCCACACUGGAACUGAGACACGGUCCAGACUCCUACGGGAGGCAGCAGUGGGGAAUAUUGCACAAUGGGCGCAAGCCUGAUGCAGCCAUGCCGCGUGUAUGAAGAAGGCCUUCGGGUUGUAAAGUACUUUCAGCGGGGAGGAAGGGAGUAAAGUUAAUACCUUUGCUCAUUGACGUUACCCGCAGAAGAAGCACCGGCUAACUCCGUGCCAGCA